UACGAAGGGUGCAAACGUUGCUCGGAAUCAUUGGCGUACGUAAGCGCACGUAGGCGGCUUGCCAAGUCGGACGUGAAAUCCCCUCAGCUCAACUGAGGACGUGCAUCCGAAACUGGCGAGCUUGAGUACUGAAGAGGAUCGCGGAAUUCCCGGUGUAGAGGUGAAAUUCGUAGAUAUCGGGAGGAACACCAGUGGCGAAGGCGGCGAUCUGGGCAGAUACUGACGCUGAGGUGCGAAAGCGUGGGGAGCAAACAGG
rnacentral:rRNA from 1 species